UACGGAGGUGGCAAGCGUUGCUCGGAAUCACUGGGCGUAAAGGGCGCGUAGGCGGGGAGGGAAGUCGGGUGUGAAAUCCCUCGGCCCAACCGAGGAACUGCGCCCGAGACUGCUUCUCUUGAGUCCCGGAGAGGAAGAUGGAAUUCCCGGUGUAGCGGUGAAAUGUGUAGAGAUCGGGAGGAACACCGGUGGCGAAGGCGGUCUUCUGGACGGUGACUGACGCUGAGGCGCGAAAGCGUGGGGAGCAAACGGG
rnacentral:rRNA from 1 species